rnacentral:rRNA from 1 species
CCUACGGGAGGCAGCAGUGGGGAAUUUUGGACAAUGGGCGCAAGCCUGAUCCAGCAAUGCCGCGUGCAGGAUGAAGGCCUUCGGGUUGUAAACUGCUUUUGUACGGAGCGAAACGGUCUGCUUUAAUACAGUGGGCUAAUGACGGUACCGUAAGAAUAAGCACCGGCUAACUACGUGCCAGCAGCCGCGGUAAUACGUAGGGUGCGAGCGUUAAUCGGAAUUACUGGGCGUAAAGCGUGCGCAGGCGGUUAUAUAAGACAGAUGUGAAAUCCCCGGGCUCAACCUGGGACCUGCAUUUGUGACUGUAUAGCUAGAGUAUGGUAGAGGGGGAUGGAAUUCCGCGUGUAGCAGUGAAAUGCGUAGAUAUGCGGAGGAACACCGAUGGCGAAGGCAAUCCCCUGGACCUGUACUGACGCUCAUGCACGAAAGCGUGGGGAGCAAACAGGAUUAGAUACCCUGGUAGUCCACGCCCUAAACGAUGUCAACUGGUUGUUGGGUCUUCACUGACUCAGUAACGAAGCUAACGCGUGAAGUUGACCGCCUGGGGAGUCGGCCGCAAGGUUGAAACGUCAAAUGAAUUGACGGCGNGAGAGNGCGAGGACGACGACGAGGGAGGAGG